rnacentral:rRNA from 1 species
AAGUUGUUACUUGGUUAAACUUCUUAGUUUACUUUUAGAAAAUAGUUGUAUAUAAAUGAGCGUUUUAUUAUUCUUGAAUUUAUUUAACGCUCAAAGAUCUUCUCAGAUCUAAAAAUGUAUUAAUUUUCCUAUUUAAAAACAGUUUUUUAAUUAUUCACGGAUUAAUUACAACUUAGAAAACUGAAACAUCUUAGUAUCUUUAGGAAAGGAAAGCAAGUGCGAUUUUUUAUGUAGAGGCGAGCGAAAUUAAAACAAUUUUAAUUUCAUUAAAAACUAUUUGAAAAAGAAAGAACUUGGUUUUGUGUUAUUUUUCUGUAGCGUAACCUUUUUGAAUCUGGUGUUAGAAUAAGAGAAAACCCGAUACUUUGUAACAAGAAUAUCUUAUUUAAGAAUUAUGUCACAAGUAUGAUGAUCCACGUGGACAAACAUAACAAUCACUAGGACCCGUAGAAGUUUAUUUUUUUCUUGCUAGUAAAAUUAAGUAUUUUUCAUCACUUAUAGAGAAGCAGUACUGUGAAAGAACGGUGAAAAAGAUUCUUGAAAGGGUAAAAAUUUCUGAAAAGAUUAUAAAACUAUUUUCUUUGGUAAAAUUGUAUUAUGUGAAAAGACUUUGUUAUGAGAUUACGUUCAUUUUGAAGAAUGAGAAAGCGAGUUUUAUAAAAGGUGAGGUUAACUAGAACGAAACGGGGAACCUUGUGAAAUCAUGUAUUAUUUUAAAGAAUACUUUUACAGCAACAUGCUUCCAAGAAGUGGAAUGUUGUUGUAUCUCUUCUUAGAAUUCUGCUUGUAAGAAUUUCAUCUAUCAGAGAUUUUGAUUUUUUGUAUAAUAAAAAACUUUUUUUAAAUGUCCCGAACUCAAUGUGAUCUAACCUUCUUCAAAAUGAGUCAUCGUUAAUAGGAUGGGGACGUUUGAACUGACUAGUGUUGAAAUAUUAGCGGAUGAGAGAUGGAUAGCGGAGUAAUCCCAAUCGAACUUGGAGCUAGCUGGUUUUCUUCGAAAUGUGUUGAGGCGCAGCAAAUUAAAGGGAAGGGGUAAAGCACUGUUUUUACACGGGUUAUGAAAGUUAUACCAAGUCAUAGCAAACUAAGAAUACUAAUCAAAUUUGAAAUGAGUGAGACGGUGAGGGAUAAGUUUUGUAGUCAAAAGAGAAACAGCUUAGAGUGUGAGUUAAGGAGCUUAAAAUAUAGUUAAAUGGGAAAGGAGGUUUGAAUGCAGAGACGACUAGAAGAUUUGCUUAGAAGCAGCCCUAAACUAAUUUUUAUAUAUUGAUUUCACCUUUAAAGAGUACGUAAUAGAUCAUUUGUAGAUAAAAAUAUAGGUUAUUUUAUUUUUUCUUAGAUAAAAUGAUUUUGCGUUUUUACACCAAAAAUGUUAAGGACUAGCUAUAAUCCGAAAUUUCAGUUUUUCAUAAAAUUAUUUGAAAAAGAUAAAAGAUAACAUUAUACGAUGUUUUAUGUUGUGUGUUUAUGUUCAUAUAUAAAGGUGAGACUGUUAACUUAAGUAAUGAAAUUGUGGUGAUAAUCUUUGUCCCCAAAAGUUUAAGAGUUUUUUUACGCGGUUUGUUCAAAAAGAGGUAGUCAGAAUUUAAAGUGAAUUUCAAAGUGGGUAUAGUAGAUGGAUGAAUAGUGUUAAUCUAAUUCCUUGAAAAGGUAUUUUUAUAUGAGUGGUGAAAAAAGGAAUGAUUAAAUUAGUUUGUUUAAUAAGAUAGAAAUUUUAGUUAAUCUUGACAAUCGAUACAAUCUUAUUUUGUUUUAGAUAGAUUGUGUGACGUUGAUGAAAUUUUGGUUUUUCUAGAAAAGUUUUUUAAAAUUGUUAUGUGUAACUUAUAAGCAAGUCUGUAUUUAAAACCGACACAGGUAAAAUUAGGUAGAAUAUACUAAGGGGUAUGAAAUAAUUUUCUUUAAGGAACUCGGCAAAUUAACUUUAUAACUUAGGGAUACAAAGUGCCAAAAUAUUGCUUGAGGUUUUGUUAACAGAUUCAGACGACUGUUUACCAAAAACACAGGUUUCCGCAAAAUUUUAAGAUAAAGUAUGGAAGCUGACGCCUGCCCAGUACUAGAAAGUGAAUAAAACUGAUGAGUGAUUAAGUCAAUUUUUGAAUCCUUGGUGAACGGCGGCCGUAACUAUGACGGUCCUAAGAUAGCAAAAUUCCUUGCCAGGUAAGUUCUGGCCUGCACGAAAGGCGUAACGAUCGGAAUAUUGUCUCAGAGAAAAGUUUUGUGAAAUAGAAAAAUCUGUGAAGAUCCAAAUUUCUUACACUUGGACAUAAAGACCCUAUGAAGCUUAACUAUGGUUUGGGAUUGGGUUUGAAUUAUAUUUGUGCAGUAUAAGUGGGAGAUGUUUAGCGUAUAUUGUUUAAUGAGAUACCACUCUAAUGUAAUUAAAACACUAAAUACUUUCUUUGAUAAAAACUUUUAUGGGUAUUGUUUUAUAUGGGUAGUUUGACUGGGGCGGUCACCUCCUAAAAAGUAACGGAGGCGUACUAAAGUUUUUUCAGGUUGGACAGAAAUCAGUUGUAGAAUGUAAAGAUAAAAAAAGGCUUGAUUGUGAGAGAUUUACAUAUUAAUCAGGUGCGAGAGCGGGUCUUAGUGAUCCAAUGAUAAACUGUGUGGAGAGGUCAUUGCUCAACGGAUAAAAGUUACUCUAGGGAUAACAGGCUAAUCUUUUUCAAGAGUUCAUAUCGACAAAAAGGUUUGGCACCUCGAUGUCGGCUCGUCGCAACCUGGCGCGGUAGUACGUGACAAAGGUUGGGCUGUUCGCCCAUGAAAGCGGCACGUGAGCUGGGUUCAGAACGUCGUGAGACAGUUCGGUCCAUAUCUAGUGAGAGUUUUGUUAUGUGAUAUUGAAGAGAUUUUUUCCUUGUACGAGAGGACCGGAUCGAAUUUGUCGUGGUGUGCCAGUUCUUUUUCAGGAAAACGUUGGGUAGCUGUGCGUAGUCUAGAUAAUUGCUGAAAGCAUAUUAAGUAAGAAGCUGUUUUUGAAAAAAUAUUAAAGUGGAGGAUUGUUGUACUAAGUAAAACUAUGGGGAGAUAAGCCAAUUGGGAGGAGAUAUAUCUUUGGAAUUUAAAAACUGCACAGUUAAACUUUUCUUUU